AACGAACGCUGGCGGCAUGCCUAACACAUGCAAGUCGAACGAGACCUUCGGGUCUAGUGGCGCACGGGUGCGUAACGCGUGGGAACCUGCCCUUAGGUUCGGAAUAACUCCCCGAAGGGGGUGCUAAUACCGGAUAAUGUCUUCGGACCAAAGAUUUAUCGCCUUUGGAUGGGCCCGCGUUGGAUUAGCUAGUUGGUAGGGUAAAAGCCUACCAAGGCGACGAUCCAUAGCUGGUCUGAGAGGAUGAUCAGCCACACUGGGACUGAGACACGGCCCAGAUUCCUACGGGAGGCAGCAGUGGGGAAUAUUGGACAAUGGGCGAAAGCCUGAUCCAGCAAUGCCGCGUGAGUGAUGAAGGCCUUAGGGUUGUAAAGCUCUUUUACCCGGGAUGAUAAUGACAGUACCGGGAGAAUAAGCUCCGGCUAACUCCGUG
rnacentral:rRNA from 1 species